rnacentral:rRNA from 1 species
AUUGAACGCUGGCGGCAGGCCUAACACAUGCAAGUCGAACGAGUGGCGGACGGGUGAGUAAUGUAUGGGAAACUGCCUGAUGGAGGGGGAUAACUACUGGAAACGGGAGCUAAUACCGCAUACCAUGAGAUGUGCGGAGAUGGGAUUGGCUUGUUGGUGGGUUAACGGCUCACCAAGGCGACGAUCCCUGGCUGGUCUGAGAGGAUGACCAGCGCCACUGGAACGGAGACACGGUCCAGACUCCUACGGGAGGCAGCAGUGGGGAUUAUUGCACUAUUGACGCAAGCCUGAUGCGGCCCUGCCGCGUGGAUGAAGAAGGCCUUCGGGUUGUAAUGUACUUUCAGCGGGGAGGCUUUACCCGCAGAAGAAGCACCGGCUAACUCCGUGCCAGCCGCCGCGGUAAUAC